rnacentral:rRNA from 1 species
GAUGAACGCUGGCGGCGUGCUUAAUACAUGCAAGUCGAGCGAACAGACGAGGCGCUUGCUCCUCUGACGUUAGCGGCGGGCGUGUGAGUCACACGUGUAUAACCUACCUAUAAGUCUGGUAUCACUUCGGGAAACCGGAGCUAAUACCGGAUAAUAUAUUGAACCGCAUGGGUCAAUGGUGAAAGACGGUUUUGCUGGCACUUAUAGAUGGAUCCGGGCCUCAUUAGCUAGUUGGGAAGGUAACGGGUUAUCAAGGCUACGAUGCGUAGCCGACGUGUGUGGGUGGUCGGCCACAUGGGAACUGAGACACGGUCCAGAGUCCUACGGGAGGCAGCAGUAGGGAAUCGUCCGCAAUGGGCGAAAGCAUGACGCAGCAACGCCGCGUGAGUGAUGAAGGUCUUCGGAUCGUAAAACUCUGUUAUUAGGGAAGAACAAAUGUGUAAGUAACUAUGCACGUCUUGACGGUACCUGAUCAGAAAGCAACGGCUAACUACGUG